UACAGAGGGGGCAAGCGUUGUUCGGAAUUACUGGGCGUAAAGGGCGCGUAGGCGGCCUGUUAAGUCGAACGUGAAAUCCCCGGGCUCAACCCGGGAACUGCGUCCGAUACUGGCAGGCUUGAAUCCGGGAGAGGGAUGCGGAAUUCCAGGUGUAGCGGUGAAAUGCGUAGAUAUCUGGAGGAACACCGGUGGCGAAGGCGGCAUCCUGGACCGGUAUUGACGCUGAGGAGCGAAAGCAUGGGGAGCGAACAGG
rnacentral:rRNA from 1 species